rnacentral:rRNA from 1 species
UAAGGGAAAAAAUUGAUAUUACCUUACUAUUAGUGUUGUCUAAAUAACUGGUGCCAGAAGACUCGGUAACACCAGAAACGCGAACGUUAGUCGUCUUAAACAGGCGUAAAGGGUAAGUAGGCUGCUUUAAAGUCUAUUUUAAAAUAAGCUAAUUAAUAAUACUACAACCUUUCUGCGUCUUUCGCGUAGAGAGGGAGUAAGGCCCUAUCUAAAAAUUUUAUUGAUUUCAGACCUUAAAUUAAAAAUUAAGGGAAAAUUAAAUGAAAAUAGGGAUUAUUAUUAGAUCCGCAUAACUUAUAAUAAUUAAUUAUUAAUUUUGACAAAAAUAGAUACACUUAAAGCUAGAAUCUUAAUUGAGAUAAACCAAAUAAUGCUUAUGUGUAAGGGCGAUAUCUGAAAAUACUAAGUAGAAUACUAACGGUGAAAACUUGUUAUCUGGUAAUGAUUGACGCUGAGGUACGAAAGUGAGAACAGGGAAUAGGAUGUGCGACUUGAAAGCUUAAAUAAUGUACAGUAUUCUAAGAUACAUAUCNUUCGUCUGAUAAUAGCCUACCUAAACAUGCAAACUAGUAAUGGUUUGUGUAAGCUAAGGGAAAGUAUUAAGUAUC